GCAAAAAAAAAAACAAAUGAAUUACAAAAGGUUCCUAUGGUCAAAUUGCGAUAAUACAGAAAGGGAACAUCUAAAUCGGUGUUACAGCUACCAUUGCAAAGUUUCUUUAUUCGAUAUGGAAAAAUGCAUUACAUGUUUAAUGUAUGAAGCCAUUGAAAUACUUUAAUGUACCUUACGUAAAAAACAGUGGAUAAUGAAAUUGCCAGAAUUAUGGUAUCGCAUAAAAUGAAGGUUACAUUGAGCGAAAAGCAUGAUCAGGGCUUUACCAAAUAACAAAAUCAUACUUCUCCUUUUCUCAAUAUAUGGCAUUUUAGGUUUCAUUGAAGACAAGUCUUUGAAAAGGAUUUACUUUGUGUUGUUUUUAAGGCAUGAAAUUUAUAUCACUAGAUUCAUCCUCAAAAGUACUUAAUGUGGAUUCAUAUCAUAUAAAUCACAUAUUAAUGAAGUAAUUCUUGGUCAAAGUCUUGUAUUAACGAAACCUAAUAUGUCCUGUAUUGACAAAAUGAGGGAGUAUAUUAUCUAACAGUGCAUGUAUACAGGCACGAUACUGGUAGCGCGUAUUACAAGCAAGGUAUCUUAAAAACAUUGCAACACAGUGCCAGACCAGCGAGGCAACUGCGAGCUACACAUGUAUGGUGAAACAAGCCUCGCAACUUCGUAAGUAACUCCAAAACUACAUCAGCACGUCUCUUGAACUUUGGAAACACACAGACGUGUUCCACGACCGUGAGGCGACGGAGUUAACGGGGCAGCGUUGCCGGAAAGACAAGAGUACCGUAACAAGGCCCAGACUGGGCUGCAUCGGCGUUCUGCCUCUAUUACAAGCGAGAGAUGUUGAACCGGCCAAGGUUAGGCAAGGCAGUCAGCGGGAGGAUUUUUUUUUUUUUGUUGUUGGUUUUGAAGAGGCGCGGGAGGAGAAGAACUUGCUUGACCAGCCCACAAGAUCGUGAACCGGUAUGACAUUGACAUUUUAUUUAGGGCCAGUAACGUGUAAUUAGAAGUACUAGCUUACAUCUCUUCCUUUUUGAACCGUCAGAUCUGCAACCAUAUCAUCUCUCCCCUUUGUCCUCUUCGCUAUGCCGAUUUUAGUGAAACGCCGCUGCCAAAUCUUCACAGGAUUGUGAACCGGCAGCAGCUUCGACCCUUCAAUAUUAUUAUUACAGCUAAAUAAAAGACUGAAAUUAUAGGUGAGGUCCUUUGUUCUAAUCGCCCAAGCGAGCAGAAGCCAAGAGAUUACGUGCAAGCAUAGCAUGGCCAUGUUCGCCAACUCAUGACAUAGUGGCACAGGGACUAACCACCUGGAUUACAUGGCUAGCUUCCAUAUAUGUGCAACAAAAUAUUGGUACCAGGCAGCCAUCUGUGCCACCAACCAUAAACUCCCUGAUCCCAAAAAAUACAAAAUACCAAGAGUUUCCACCCACAUCAGUACAAGUGCACAACAGUUUAAGAGACAAGCCAAGGAUCAUUCCCAGUUUGUGGGAAUAAAUAAGAGUCCGCAGCAAACAGAAAACUCAAAAUCGCUGGCAAAGUUAGGAUGUGGAAAAAAGAAAGGCUUAAAAUGAUCUAGCCAUGGCGUCAGAAUCUAUUAUCAAUGUUUCUCUCUCAAGGAUUUCCCUUCUAUAUAAAGUAUAAUAUUACAAAGGGGCUGCUUAAAUAUCAUGGACUCCUGGAAUGUAAAGAGGGUAAUAAUCAACACUACAUGAGCCUCCUUUUUCCU